CACCACUGGAAAGAGCUGCGUAUGCAGCCGCCGAAGGAGAAAAGCAGACUGAAACAACGUCACCUGCAGGGUUCUAUACAUGUAGGGCUCCAUGCAGGUCUAAGUACAGCGCGUUGGUGAGGCUGCCGAAGCUCUCAGGUACAGGAGACAGUGCGGG
rnacentral:ncRNA from 1 species